GAUGAACGCUGGCGGCGUGCCUAAUACAUGCAAGUCGAGCGAACAGAUGAGGAGCUUGCUCCUCUGACGUUAGCGGUGGACGGGUGAGUAACACGUGGAUAACCUACCUAUAAGACUGGGAUAACUUCGGGAAACCGGAGCUAAUACCGGAUAAUAUAUUGAACCGCAUGGUUCAAUAGUGAAAGACGGUUUUGCUGUCACUUAUAGAUGGAUCCGCGCCGCAUUAGCUAGUUGGUAAGGUAACGGCUUACCAAGGCAACGAUGCGUAGCCGACCUGAGAGGGUGAUCGGCCACACGGGAACUGAGACACGGUCCAGACUCCUACGGGAGGCAGCAGUAGGGAAUCUUCCGCAAUGGGCGAAAGCCUGACGGAGCAACGCCGCGUGAGUGAUGAAGGUCUUCGGAUCGUAAAACUCUGUUAUUAGGGAAGAACAAAUGUGUAAGUAACUAUGCACGUCUUGACGGUACCUAAUCAGAAAGCCACGGCUAACUACGUG
rnacentral:rRNA from 1 species